rnacentral:rRNA from 1 species
CCCCUAGAUGUUCUGGGCCGCACGCGCGCUACACUGAACAGUUCAACAAGUCUUAACCUUGGCCGAUAGGUCUGGGUAAUCUUUGAACGCUGUUCGUGAUUGGGAUAGACCUUUGCAAUUAUGGGUCUUCAACGAGGAAUUCCUAGUAAACGCAAGUCAUCAGCUUGCAUUGAUUACGUCCCUGCCCUUUGUACACACCGCCCGUCGCACCUACCGAUUGAAUGGUCCGGUGAAAUCUCGGGACGGCGGCUUGGUCGCUUGCGUCCGACUGCUGAAACUUGAUUAAACCAUAUCAUUUAGAGGAAGGUGAAGUAGUAACA